GAACAAUGCGCAGGAUGGAGACUCCACUUACACGGGUCUUAUCCUGGAGUAUCGAUCUGUUUACGAUGAUCUGAACAGCUGACGUCACUGUGAACGGAAGCCGAUGAUUGGAUCGUGAAUUGGCACAGAGAAAAGACAACCAUCCAGGAUAAAUCCACCGUUCAAAAUGGCUUUUUUUUUCUUUGUAAUCGUUCUCGAGGUCUCAACUAAACCUCUUCCGCGUUUCCUAGCCUCACGACAAAGACAUCACAGAAGAUUCUGUCUCGUUUCCGUCGCAGCAGCUUAGUUCUCUCGCAUCAACCCAGACUGGUGCUGUGGAGUGUCAGGGGAUUCCCAUAAAAUGACCGCUGUUCGAAUCCCUAUCCCGGCCGUACUCUAUUCUCAACACGUGGUCAGUUGUGUUUGAGCUGCAAUGUCUGAUCUAUAUAGCAAAAUUACCCUACCGCAUAGCCCUCUAUGGUUCUGAGCUCAAUGUGCCAAUCUCACAGUCUCUGGAAAGUCCCACUGUAUCGGCCUUCGCUCGCCACGCACCCAUCACUCUCUGUGUGAAAAACGUACCCCUGGCAUCUCCUUGUACCUACUUCCGAGCACAAUAAACCUGUGCCCAUCGUGUUCGCCAUUUCAGCCCUGGAGAAAAGCCUCUUGCUCUUGCACGAUCAAUGCCUCUGAUUAUCUUAUACGCAUCAAUCAGGUCACCGCCCAUCCUCCGUCGCUCCAAGGAUGAAACGCAAAUUCCGGCUGAACCUGUUCCCAUAAGGUAUGUUCCCCAAUCCAGGCAACAUCCUUGUAAAUCUCUUCUGUUAAUCGGGUUUGUCAUCGGUCGCUGAAAGGCCCGAAGUGACUACU